ACUGCGUGUGGUGGUUAAUGCGCUGCACUCUACAGUGUAUCCUAAUACAAUAGUGCACUGCGUGUGGUGGUUAAUGCGCUGCACUCUACAGUGAAUCCUAAUACAUUAGUGCACUGCAUGUGGUGGUUAACUCGCUGCACUCUGCAGUGUAUCCUAAUACAAUAGUGCACUGCAUGUGGUGGUUAAUGCACUGCACUCUACAGUGUAUCCUAAUACAAUAGUGCACUGCAUGUGGUGGUUAACGCGCUGCACUCUGCAGUGUAUCCUAAUACAUUAGUGCACUGCGUGUGGUGGUUAAUGCACUGCACUCUACAGUGUAUCCUAAUACAAUAGUGCACUGCAUGUGGUGGUUAACGCGCUGCACUCUGCAGUGUAUCCUAAUACAUUAGUGCACUGCGUGUGGUGGUUAAUGCACUGCACUCUACAGUGUAUCCUAAUACAAUAGUGCACUGCAUGUGGUGGUUAACGCGCUGCACUCUGCAGUGUAUCCUAAUACAUUAGUGCACUGCGUGUGGUGGUUAAUGUGCUGCACUCUACAGUGUAUCCUAAUACAAUACUGCACUGCAUGUGGUGGUUAAUGCACUGCACUCUACAGUGUAUCCUAAUACAAUAGUGCACUGCAUGUGGUGGUUAAUGCGCUGCACUCUGCAGUGUAU